GUGCCAGCAGCCGCGGUAAUACGGAGGGUGCAAGCGUUGUUCGGAAUUAUUGGGCGUAAAGGGCGUGUAGGUGGCUCGCCAAGUCUGGUGUGAAAGCCCACGGCUCAACCGUGGAACUGCAUUGGAAACUGGCGAGCUCGAGUAUUGGAGGGGGUCGCGGAAUUCCCGGUGUAGAGGUGAAAUUCGUAGAUAUCGGGAGGAACACCAGUGGCGAAGGCGGCGACCUGGCCAUUCACUGACACUGAGACGCGAAAGCGUGGGGAGCAAACAGGAUUAGAAACCCCAGUAGUCC
rnacentral:rRNA from 1 species